UAUUUCCUAAAAGCUAAGGUUUCCAUUUUUUUUUUCGUUUCCUGCUUUCCUCCUUCCUCCUUCCCCUUCUCGUUGUCUGUUGUUGUUCACCCACCGCCAAACACACCCAACGACUUGUCGCGCCACCGCUGGUGUCGCCCCACCGACAAAGGCUUCCUCUUCCAGCCGCGUCGACGCUGUUCUUCAAUCUGAAAAAAUGGAAGCAGCUAAACCAGUGUGUGGAAAAGAGGCGUUGGAUCUUCUCAAUUGCGUGGUUGAUUCUAAUUACGAUCAGGAGAAAUUCCUUCAUCUUUUGCAAUCUCUUCGGCAAUGUGUCCUUUCCAAGUGAGGAAUGCAAAAGCAGUGUGCCCAGUAGCUCUUAUUGACAUGCACAACUGCAGUGUUGAUGCGAAAAUCAAGAUGAGUCUUGAUGCAACAGACAUGGAAAAAACCAGCUGAGAUUAAGAAGAAGCCAACUGAGAGGAAACCAACCUCGUCAUCUGUAGCAGGUUCUAAGUCGAAGCCAAAGAAGAGAAAUCUUAGCAAAGUGAAGGAUCCUAACAUGCUGAAGCGCCCAAUGAGUUGCUACUUUCUGAUCCUGAUUCUCUGAAGGUGUACAAGGAAGAGCAUCCUGAUUCCAAGGUUUGCAGUUGCUUAAAGGUUCUCUAAUUUGAACUACGUAGGUUACCAAGGAAGCUGGAGGAAAAUGGAAGUUCAUGACUAAUGAGGAGAAGAAGCCAUAUCAGGAUAAAUAUGUAGAGCUCAAGGUGGAGUAUGAGAAGGCUAUGGAGGCUUACAAUGCUAGGAAUGAGGAGGUAUUCAAUAAUCUGAGGGAGAGGCCUUUCACCUUUGAGGAGAUAGAUGAAGUUCGAGAAAUGUUGGCAAACUUCAUUACCAGUGAUUGUCUUUGAUAUUUUCUUGUACUGAAUCUUAAAUUAUGGAUGCUAGUUUUUCAUAUUAUUGUAAUGUAAUCGACUUUUAUAUUUACAAUUAUAUACUAUUUAAUUUAAUUAUCUAUAUAAUUGGAUACUUUUUAUGUGA